AGCGUACACGGUGGAUGCCCUGGCAGUCAGAGGCGAUGAAGGACGUGCUAAUCUGCGAUAAGCGUCGGUAAGGUGAUAUGAACCGUUAUAACCGGCGAUUUCCGAAUGGGGAAACCCAGUGUGUUUCGACACACUAUCAUUAACUGAAUCCAUAGGUUAAUGAGGCGAACCGGGGGAACUGAAACAUCUAAGUACCCCGAGGAAAAGAAAUCAACCGAGAUUCCCCCAGUAGCGGCGAGCGAACGGGGAGCAGCCCAGAGCCUGAAUCAGUGUGUGUGUUAGUGGAAGCGUCUGGAAAGGCGCGCGAUACAGGGUGACAGCCCCGUACACAAAAAUGCACAUGCUGUGAGCUCGAUGAGUAGGGCGGGACACGUGGUAUCCUGUCUGAAUAUGGGGGGACCAUCCUCCAAGGCUAAAUACUCCUGACUGACCGAUAGUGAACCAGUACCGUGAGGGAAAGGCGAAAAGAACCCCGGCGAGGGGAGUGAAAAAGAACCUGAAACCGUGUACGUACAAGCAGUGGGAGCCUCUUUAUGGGGUGACUGCGUACCUUUUGUAUAAUGGGUCAGCGACUUAUAUUCUGUAGCAAGGUUAACCGAAUAGGGGAGCCGAAGGGAAACCGAGUCUUAACUGGGCGUUAAGUUGCAGGGUAUAGACCCGAAACCCGGUGAUCUAGCCAUGGGCAGGUUGAAGGUUGGGUAACACUAACUGGAGGACCGAACCGACUAAUGUUGAAAAAUUAGCGGAUGACUUGUGGCUGGGGGUGAAAGGCCAAUCAAACCGGGAGAUAGCUGGUUCUCCCCGAAAGCUAUUUAGGUAGCGCCUCGUGAAUUCAUCUCCGGGGGUAGAGCACUGUUUCGGCAAGGGGGUCAUCCCGACUUACCAACCCGAUGCAAACUGCGAAUACCGGAGAAUGUUAUCACGGGAGACACACGGCGGGUGCUAACGUCCGUCGUGAAGAGGGAAACAACCCAGACCGCCAGCUAAGGUCCCAAAGUCAUGGUUAAGUGGGAAACGAUGUGGGAAGGCCCAGACAGCCAGGAUGUUGGCUUAGAAGCAGCCAUCAUUUAAAGAAAGCGUAAUAGCUCACUGGUCGAGUCGGCCUGCGCGGAAGAUGUAACGGGGCUAAACCAUGCACCGAAGCUGCGGCAGCGACGCUUAUGCGUUGUUGGGUAGGGGAGCGUUCUGUAAGCCUGUGAAGGUGUGCUGUGAGGCAUGCUGGAGGUAUCAGAAGUGCGAAUGCUGACAUAAGUAACGAUAAAGCGGGUGAAAAGCCCGCUCGCCGGAAGACCAAGGGUUCCUGUCCAACGUUAAUCGGGGCAGGGUGAGUCGACCCCUAAGGCGAGGCCGAAAGGCGUAGUCGAUGGGAAACAGGUUAAUAUUCCUGUACUUGGUGUUACUGCGAAGGGGGGACGGAGAAGGCUAUGUUGGCCGGGCGACGGUUGUCCCGGUUUAAGCGUGUAGGCUGGUUUUCCAGGCAAAUCCGGAAAAUCAAGGCUGAGGCGUGAUGACGAGGCACUACGGUGCUGAAGCAACAAAUGCCCUGCUUCCAGGAAAAGCCUCUAAGCAUCAGGUAACAUCAAAUCGUACCCCAAACCGACACAGGUGGUCAGGUAGAGAAUACCAAGGCGCUUGAGAGAACUCGGGUGAAGGAACUAGGCAAAAUGGUGCCGUAACUUCGGGAGAAGGCACGCUGAUAUGUAGGUGAAGCGACUUGCUCGUGGAGCUGAAAUCAGUCGAAGAUACCAGCUGGCUGCAACUGUUUAUUAAAAACACAGCACUGUGCAAACACGAAAGUGGACGUAUACGGUGUGACGCCUGCCCGGUGCCGGAAGGUUAAUUGAUGGGGUUAGCGCAAGCGAAGCUCUUGAUCGAAGCCCCGGUAAACGGCGGCCGUAACUAUAACGGUCCUAAGGUAGCGAAAUUCCUUGUCGGGUAAGUUCCGACCUGCACGAAUGGCGUAAUGAUGGCCAGGCUGUCUCCACCCGAGACUCAGUGAAAUUGAACUCGCUGUGAAGAUGCAGUGUACCCGCGGCAAGACGGAAAGACCCCGUGAACCUUUACUAUAGCUUGACACUGAACAUUGAGCCUUGAUGUGUAGGAUAGGUGGGAGGCUUUGAAGUGUGGACGCCAGUCUGCAUGGAGCCGACCUUGAAAUACCACCCUUUAAUGUUUGAUGUUCUAACGUUGACCCGUAAUCCGGGUUGCGGACAGUGUCUGGUGGGUAGUUUGACUGGGGCGGUCUCCUCCUAAAGAGUAACGGAGGAGCACGAAGGUUGGCUAAUCCUGGUCGGACAUCAGGAGGUUAGUGCAAUGGCAUAAGCCAGCUUGACUGCGAGCGUGACGGCGCGAGCAGGUGCGAAAGCAGGUCAUAGUGAUCCGGUGGUUCUGAAUGGAAGGGCCAUCGCUCAACGGAUAAAAGGUACUCCGGGGAUAACAGGCUGAUACCGCCCAAGAGUUCAUAUCGACGGCGGUGUUUGGCACCUCGAUGUCGGCUCAUCACAUCCUGGGGCUGAAGUAGGUCCCAAGGGUAUGGCUGUUCGCCAUUUAAAGUGGUACGCGAGCUGGGUUUAGAACGUCGUGAGACAGUUCGGUCCCUAUCUGCCGUGGGCGCUGGAGAACUGAGGGGGGCUGCUCCUAGUACGAGAGGACCGGAGUGGACGCAUCACUGGUGUUCGGGUUGUCAUGCCAAUGGCACUGCCCGGUAGCUAAAUGCGGAAGAGAUAAGUGCUGAAAGCAUCUAAGCACGAAACUUGCCCCGAGAUGAGUUCU
rnacentral:rRNA from 1 species